rnacentral:rRNA from 1 species
AAGGAGUUUUCGGCAAUGGGGGGAACCCUGACCGAGCAACGCCGCGUGAGUGAUGACGGCCCUAUGGGUUGUAAAGCUCUGUUAUAAGGGACGAACAGCUUUGCUAGGAAAUGAGCAGAGUCUGACGGUACUUUAUCAGAAAGCCACGGCUAACUACGUGCCAGCAGCCGCGGUAAUACGUAGGUGGCAAGCGUUAUCCGGAAUUAUUGGGCGUAAAGAGUGAGCAGGCGGCAGAUUAAGUUUGAGGUUAAAGCGUGGGGCUCAACCCCAUAAAGCCCUGAAAACUGAUCAGCUAGAGUACGAGAGAUGUGAAGGGAACUCCAUGUGUAGCGGUGAAAUGCGUAGAUAUAUGGAAGAACACCAGUGGCGAAGGCGCUUCACAAGCUCGAAACUGACGCUCAGUCACGAAAGCGUGGGUAGCAAAUA